rfam:Homo sapiens chromosome 11, GRCh38 reference primary assembly.
GAAGGUAUAGCUCAGGGGUAGAGCAUUUGACUGCAGAUCAAGAAAAUACUCCUUUG